GAAUGAACACAACAGGUAAUCAUCAAGUGAUCUAUCCCCUGUUGCCCAUUCCCAACUUCUGGUAAACAGGCUAGGGACGCUUCAGAGCACGGUUUUGCAUCCCUGCCCAUGCUGGCUAAUAGCCAUUGAUGGACAUAUCCUCCAUGAAUUCUCUAGUUCUUUUUUUAACCCUGUUAUAGUUUUGGCCUAAACAACAUCCUCUGGCAAAGAGUUCCACAAG